UGGCUGAGCGGUAAAGCGCUUGGCUUCUGAACAAGGGACCAGGGUUUGAAUCCUGG
rnacentral:tRNA from 1 species